AAAACAUACGGACCGUCGAUUUACCGAGCAAUAUCAUCCGCUCGAUGGAAGAUCUUCCCAGCGUCGC
rnacentral:pre_miRNA from 1 species